rnacentral:tRNA from 1 species
GCCGGCGUAGCUCAGUUGGUUAGAGCGAAGGACUCAUAAGCCUUAGGUCGCUGGUUCAAUUCCAGCCGCCGGUACCA